rnacentral:misc_RNA from 1 species
UACUGGCAGGAUCAACCAGGUAACUGUGAAGAACAAGUAUCCUCUUCCCCAGAUUGAUGGGCUCUUUGACCAGCUUCAGGGCGGGGCAGUACUUUUCAAAGGUGGACUUGAGAUCGGGAUACCAUCACCUGCAAGUCAGGGAGAAGGAUGUACAAAAGACAGUGUUCCGUACCCGCCACGGACAUUAUGAGUUCCUUUUGAUGCCGUUCGGAUUGACGAAUGCGCCAAUAGUGUUCAUGGCCUUGAUGAACAAGAUCUUUUCUCAGCACCUCGACAGCUUCACAGUUAUGUUCAUCGACGAUGUGAUAGUCUACUCGAAGUCCAAAGAAGAGCACAAGCAACAUUUGAGGACGUCUCUACAGUUGUUGCACGGCAACCAGUUGAACGCAAAGCUCAGCA